rnacentral:rRNA from 1 species
GACGAACGCUGGCGGCGUGCUUAACACAUGCAAGUCGAACGGAAAGGCCCUGCUUUUGUGGGGUGCUCGAGUGGAGAACGGGUGAGUAACACAUGAGUAACCUGCCCUUGACUUUGGGAUAACUUCAGGAAACUGGGGCUAAUACCGGAUAGGAGCUCCUGCUGCAUGGUGGGGGUUGGAAAGUUUCGGCGGUUGGGGAUGGACUCGCGGCUUAUCAGCUUGUUGGUGGGGUAGUGGCUUACCAAGGCUUUGACGGGUAGCCGGCCUGAGAGGGUGACCGGCCACAUUGGGACUGAGAUACGGCCCAGACUCCUACGGGAGGCAGCAGUGGGGAAUAUUGCACAAUGGGCGGAAGCCUGAUGCAGCAACGCCGCGUGCGGGAUGACGGCCUUCGGGUUGUAAACCGCUUUCGCCUGUGACGAAGCGUGAGUGACGGUAAUGGGUAAAGAAGCACCGGCUAACUACGUG